rnacentral:rRNA from 1 species
AGGGCACCACCAGGAGUGGAGCCUGCGGCUUAAUUUGACUCAACACGGGAAAACUUACCUGGUCCUGACACUAGAAGGAUUGACAGAUUGAUAGCUCUUUCUUGAUUUGGUGGAUGGUGGUGCAUGGCCGUUCUUAGUUGGUGGAGUGAUUUGUCUGGUUAAUUCCGAUAACGAACGAGACUCUAGCCUAUUAAAUAACACACAGAAUCUUGUCUUCUGUGGCGUUUCUUAAUGGGAUCAAGUGUGUUUAACGCUUUGAAACAGAGCAAUAACAGGUCUGUGAUGCCCUUAGAUGUUCGGGGCCGCACGCGCGCUACAUUGAGAGACAAAAUGAGUUUUCUAGCCUUUAAUAAGGCUAGUAAUCUUUGAAUGUUUUUCUUAAUGGGGAUAGGGGAUUGCAAUUGUGCCCCUUGAACGAGGAAUUCCCAGUAAGUGCUAGUCAUUAGCUAGUACUGAUUACGUCCCUGCCCUUUGUACACACCGCCCGUCGCUACUACCGAUUGAAUGGUUUAGUGAGAU